CGAACGCUGGCGGUAUGCUUAACACAUGCAAGUCGAACGAGAAAGCUUUCUUCGGAAAGUUAUUAGAGUGGCGCACGGGUGAGUAACACGUAGAUAACCUGCCUUUUAGUCUGGGAUAACCAUCUGAAAAGAUGGCUAAUACCGGAUAACAUCGGUUUUCAUAAGGAGGCCGAUUGAAAGAUUUAUCGCUAUUAGAUGGGUCUGCGCACCAUUAGCUAGUUGGUAAGGUAAAGGCUUACCAAGGCUACGAUGGUUAGCGGGUCUGAGAGGAUGAUCCGUCACACUGGAACUGAGACACGGUCCAGACUCCUACGGGAGGCAGCAGUGGGGAAUUUUGCGCAAUGGGCGAAAGCCUGACGCAGCAAUACCGCGUGAGUGAAGAAGGCCUUUGGGUCGUAAAGCUCUUUUCUAAAGGAAGAUAAUGACGGUACUUUAGGAAUAAGCACCGGCUAACUCC
rnacentral:rRNA from 1 species